rnacentral:rRNA from 1 species
UACGGAGGGUGCGAGCGUUGUCCGGAAUCACUGGGCGUAAAGCGCGCGUAGGCGGCUUUGCAAGUCGGGUGUGAAAUCCCCAGGCUUAACCUGGGAACUGCAUUCGAGACUGCAUUGCUAGAGUAUGGGAGAGGGAAGUGGAAUUUCCGGUGUAGCGGUGAAAUGCGUAGAUAUCGGAAGGAACAUCAGUGGCGAAAGCGACUUCCUGGACCAAUACUGACGCUCAUGUGCGAAAGCGUGGGGAGCAAACAGG